rnacentral:tRNA from 1 species
UGGAGUGUAGCUCAGUUAUAAGAGUGCUUGGUUAGCAUGCAUGAGGCCCUGGGUUUGAUCCCCAGCACCAA